CCUACGGUGGGCAGCAGUGGGGAAUAUUGCACAAUGGGGGAAACCCUGAUGCAGCGACGCCGCGUGAGUGAAGAAGUAUCUCGGUACGUAAAGCUCUAUCAGCAGGGAAGAAAAUGACGGCACCUGACUAAGAAGGCGCGGCUAACUACGGGCCAGCAGCCCCGGUAAUACGUAGGGGGCAAGCGUUAUCCGGAUUUACUGGGUGUAAAGGGAGCGUUGGCGGUAGAAAAAGUCUAGAGUGAAAGCCCCGGGCUUAACCCCGGAACUGCUUUGGAAACUGUGGGGCUGGAGUGCAGGAGGGGUAAGCGGAAUUCCUGGUGUAGCGGUGAAAUGCGUAGAUAUUAGGCAGAACACCGAUGGCGAAGGCGGCUUACUGGACUGUAACUGACGUUGAGGCUCGAAAGCGUGGGGAGCAAACAGGAUUAGAUACCCUAGUAGUC
rnacentral:rRNA from 1 species